rnacentral:rRNA from 1 species
GGGUCAGUAGGUUGGUCGUGCCACCGGUACGUAAUGGUCACACUGAUUCCUCCUUCCUCAACAACCGUAAUGCCAUUAAUUUGGUGUUGCGGGGAAACAGGACUGUUACUUUGAAAAAAUUAGAGUGUUUAAAGCAAGCUAACGCUUGAAUACAUUAGCAUGGAAUAAUGAAAUAGGACGAUCGAUCCUAUUUUGUUGGUUUCUAGGAUUGACGUA